ensembl:lncRNA
GGGCACUUAAAAGUUAACAUCAGAAUGUUAAAAUAGGAAAAAGUAUGCAAAGCCUCAGAUUGCACUUAUGUGUUCAUGAGGACUUUCUAAACAUCCUGUAGAAGUUGGCUUAAAGGCAGGAAAUGCUGAUAAAUUUCCCAGGAAAUGCUGAUAAAUUUUGGUAUCAAAUGAGCAUUUGCUUUUCCUUUGGAAAGAUCUUCUUUUGUAUCUAAUUUCACCAUAAUUCAAGAAUAUCGAUCACAGUGGGGGCUGCUGCUCAGGUCUACACCUUUUUUUUAUGGCUAUAGGACUGUGUUAUGCAGGUCACUGCUGCCUUGGCAAUGAAGCAGGCACAGCAGUGCCCAGAAAUGCACAGAUGAUGUUAUAAAAGGUGUCUGCUACAGACUACCUGAUAAAGAAGAAGAGAUGGAUGAAGUUUUCUUAAGGCACUUGGAAGAAUCCUUACUGUCAUGGGCACAGAUAUUCAAGACUGCAUUUGGCCACUUCAGUAUUUACUGAGAGGGCAUUAUGGCUGUGCAUAACAACUGCAAGAGGCUUCUUCAAUGGGUCAAAGGCAAUUUUGGGAUGGAGGCUGUUAAUGAACCAACAUAGGGAGGUGCUCUUUUAGACCUGCUGCUCAAACACAGGGAAGAACUGGUGAAGGCUGGAGACAAACUUGUUGGCAGGAUUUAGAGGACUGUGGAACUUAAGAUUCUUAUGGAAGUGGUCAAGGUUACCUGGUCUGCCAGUCGCAGCCUGCCUCUGGUCCCUUCACACUGCUCAAAGUCUGGAGACAGAACAACAUGGCUCAGCAGAUAACGUGCUACGUUCCUGAAAGUCCUUCUUUUGUUGGGAUUCUUCCCCUGUUUUUCAUAGGAAGGAAGGAAAGGAAGGGAGGAAGGGAGGAAGGGAGGAAGGGAGGAAGGAAAGGGUGAAAGAGGAAGGGGGGAAGGGGGGAAGGGAGAAAGAGGAAGGGAGAAAGAGGAAGGGAGG